rnacentral:sRNA from 1 species
GAAGAAUAAAGUCUGGAAUGUUUCUCUCAAGACCUUUGUCUUAAAAGGGAUGCUGAAGAAGUUCAAAGAGGACCUUCGGGGAGAGCUGGAGAAAGAGGAGAAAGGUAGGGAUGGUGCUGUGAUGGCGAGUAUGGACUGUCUGCCACACAGAGAUCCUACUCCCUGCUCGUGACCAUCUCAGGGUUUUGCAUAUGGUCGGUUCCUUCAGCCCACCCACCUCAGCAACCCUGUUCCUCUGUCCCCUCCCCCACACCACCCCCUCCCCAUCCUGGGAGCUCUGACACCCUCAGAUGUUGGCCCAAAUGCUGCAGGUUGGUUAGGAGCAGGAAUGCCCUGUACCUCGAGAUACUCAGACUGGGAAAGGCUUCUCGGCCACCUGGGUGAGCCUCUACCCGGUCCCCACUCCAAGAUGGAUGGAAACCUCUCCUGGGAAUGGGGUGUAUACAGGGGACCAGGAAAGCAAGGGGAAGCUAAAGACUGGAAGGAAUAUCGUUUUUACUCUUGCAAAGCUCUGGAAUGUGUGGCAUCCAACACCCAGAGGAGGGGAGGGGAGGGCACAUAUUCCUGAUGCUGAUGUCUGAGCUAAGUCAGAGUGUGUCUGGGUGCCACCUAAACCACCUGAGUGAGACCAGGCCCUCCUCUGCUCAGAGCCCUGCCACAGCCCCUCUGACUUGGUAAAGGUCAGAGUCCCCACGGUGGUCUCAAGGGCCCAAGGGAUCUGGCCUCACUGCACACCCCUUCUACUCCAUGCAGCUACACAUCCUCCUUGCUGUUCCUUCAGUGUACCAAGCACACACCCAUCCCGGGGCCUUUGCACUGCCAGGCUCCCCCACCCCAGGCCCCUACCUGGAGCAUGCUUUCCCCAGCCAGUCGUGUGGCCUGCUUCUUUGCCUUCUUUCUAUCUGUCUGCUCGAUGCCCCUUUUCAGUGAGGGUCUUCCCUGGCCACUCUGCUUGAAGUUACAGCCUGCUCUUCUGGUCCCUCUCAUCUUCUAUGUUUAUAAUCUAUCCUCAAUCCUCUCCCUGUGGGAAGGAAGCUGCAGGCAGGCAGGACUACUCUGAUACUCUGUGGUACCCCCAGGGCCUGAAUCGCAGUAGUGCUCACAGUAAGUGUACAUAUUUUAACUUUUUUUUUUUUUUUUGAGACAAGGUAUCGCUUUGUUGCCCAGGGUGGAGUGCAGUGGAACUGCAGCCUCCACCCCCCAAGCUCAAGCGAUCCUCUCUCCUCGGCGUCCUCGAGUAGCUGGGACUACAGGAGCACACUACCAUGCCUGGCUAAAUUUUCUAUGUUUUGUGGAGACGGAUGUCUCACUAUAUUGCCCAGGCUGGUCUCCAACACCUGGGCUCAAGCUGUCUUCCCACCUCUGCUUCCCAAAGUGCUAGGAUUACAAGCAUGAGCCUCUACACCUGGCCUUAACUUUUUAUUAUGAAAAAUUUCAAACAUACUCAAAAGUAGAGAGAAGAGUGUAAAGAAUGUUACAUACCCAUCUCUCACCAUCCGCAGUGAUCAAUUAGUGGCCACAGUUUUCAUAGACACUGCUAUCCACUUCCUGUGGGAUUAUUUUGUUUUCUGAGACAGGGUCUUGCUCUGGAGUGAGAUCAUGGAGUACAGUGGCCUGAUCUCUGCUCACUGCAACCUCUGCCUCCUGGGUUCAAGCGAUUCUCAUGCCUCAGCCUCCCAAACAGCUGGAAUUACAGGCACAGAACACCACGCCGGGCUAAUUUUUGUAUUUUUAGUAGAGAAAAUACAAAACAAGUUUUCCGCCAUGUUGCCCAAGCUGGUCCCAAACUUCUGACCUCAUGUGACCCAUUGGCCUCGGCCUCCCAAAGUGCUGGUAUCGCAGCUGUGCACCAUCUCACCCGGCCUCCACUGUAUUAUUGUUAUUAUUAUUUUUAUUUUUGAGACAGAGUCUUGCUCUGUCGCCCAGGCUGGAGUGCAGUGGCGUGAUCUCGGCUCACUGCAAUCUCCACCUCCCGGGUUCACGCCAUUCUCCUGCCUCAGCCUCCCGAGUAGCUGGGACUACAGGCGCCUGCCACCACGCCCGGCUAAUUUAUUUUAUUUUUUUAUUUUUAGUAGAGACGGGGUUUCACCAUGUUAGCCAGGAUGUUCUUGAUUUCCCGACUUCGUGAUCCACACACCUUGGCCUCUCAAAGUGCUGGGAUUACUGGCGUGAGCCACUGCGCCCGGCCUACUGUAUUACUUUAAAGCAUCAGAGACAACAUAUCAUUGCCAUAAAUACCUCAGUGUGUUAUCUCUAAAGAAACAGACUUUGUAAAACAUAACCACAAAGCAGUCCUCACACCUGGACAGAUUAAUGAUUCUUUCCAAUGUCUAGCAUUCAAAUAUCCCCAUCUGUUGAAUUGGGGUUCAAACCAGGCCCACACAUUGCAUUUGUUUGAUUUCAGUAAGUACUUGUUGAGUGGUCGGGGCAGGGGGAAGCAAAAUAUCUGGGAGGCAGAGCGUGGGGGUUGGUUGGGCCUUGGCGCUGGGUGCUGGGGGGAUUCUAGAGGGAAAGGCAGGCAGGUUGCAAAGCAAGGUCGGGCGCGGCCCUGCAAAGACUGUGCCAGGGGCCUGGCUGCGUGGGGACAUUUCUCCCUGUCUCUGUCUGCAGUGGAGCUCACCUUGGAUCCCGACACGGCCAACCCGCGCCUCAUCCUCUCUCUGGAUCUUAAGAGUGUGCGCCUCGGCGAGCGGGCCCAGGACCUGCCCAACCACCCCUGCCGCUUCGACACCAACACCCGCGUCCUGGCGUCCUGCGGCUUCUCCUCGGGCCGGCAUCACUGGGAGGUGGAGGUGGGCUCUAAGGACGGCUGGGCCUUUGGCGUGGCCCGCGAGAGCGUGCGCCGAAAGGGCCUGACGCCCUUCACUCCCGAGGAGGGCGUCUGGGCCCUGCAGCUCAACGGCGGCCAGUACUGGGCCGUGACCAGCCCCGAGCGGUCGCCCCUCAGCUGCGGGCACCUGUCGCGCGUGCGGGUGGCCCUGGACCUGGAGGUGGGAGCCGUGUCCUUCUACGCUGUGGAGGACAUGCGCCACCUCUACACCUUCCGCGUCAACUUCCAGGAGCGCGUGUUCCCGCUUUUCUCUGUUUGCUCCACGGGCACCUACUUGCGAAUCUGGCCUUGAGGGGCACUGCUGGGGAGCUCCUGUCUCUGGGCUGCCGGUGGGAGGGGAUGUCGCCUCCCCAGAGAUGCCUGGUCCGUCUUGGGUCUGCCCUCCGUGCUCCUGACCCCUGCUGCCCAAGAGAGCCUGCUACAGACACAACCCCGAGGCAGGAGAGUGACUGUGGCCAACCGAGCAGGGGAACAGGGGCUUUGGACUCCUGAGGGUGUUCCCUUCCUGAGGUCACAUGUGGAUUUGGCCAGAGCCUACAGGAGGUGGAGGCCGGUGAGGUCAGGAGCCCAGCUCUCCAGGGGGCUUCUGCCCUGACUGGGAAGGGUGCCUGGCUCCCUAAAACAAUGUCAAAGCCAGUCCUGCUGUUCUCUGUUGCCAGGGGACAGGUCUGGGCCUGGGCCAACCACGUUUGUUAUCAUGGCUGCUGCCUUCUGGACAGCUGCCAGCUCUGCCUUGAGAAGUUGUGGGACCUCUGGAUCCAGCUGACCUGACAGGUCAUCUACUCAGGGAGGAUCCCUGUGCUCCCAGCUCAGAGGACAGUCUGGGCCAGAACUGGAAGGAGCCAUCUGUCCCGUCUUUGAGGGACAAGCCCGGGACAACAGCCAGUGGGCAUCACGGCUCUCCAGCACUCCUUAGCCAGAGGAUACAGAGUGAUGGGUGCAUCCUGACCAAUGCGACAACCAACACGUGCUCUCACAAACACCUGACUCCCACACUUUCCAGUGCCAAAGUACAAACGCUGCUUGGAUAAGGAGAGCAAAGCUUCUGGAACUUUAUUUACUCUUUCUUUUUAAUUUUCUUUUAAGAGACUGGGUCUUGCUAUGUUGCCCAGGCUGGUCUUGAACUCCUGGCCUCAAGUGAUCCUCCAGUUUCCAUCUCCCUAAGAGCUGGGAUUACAGGUGUGAGCCGCUGUACCCGAACUUUUUUUGUUUUUGCUUCUGGAACUUUGAAACACAAAACACAAGUUGGCACUUACAAUUUUAAAGAUGCAGCCAGCUCUAAACAACGCACAGAGCACAAAUAUGCUCCUGACGGACUCAGGAAAAUGCCAACAGCAGAGCACCCUGGUGCCAAGGCCUUCUCAGCCCAUGCCCUGGAGGGCAUUCCCCUGGCCAGCCUCAGCCCCUUGUCUACUUGUUCUCCAGCUUCUGGGUAGCUGGGCUUCUGGAUGGGUGGCAGUGGGCUGCUCCCUGCUCAGCGCUCCCCUGGGAAGGGGGUGAGGAGAUGAAAAUGAAGACUAUGAGCUGUC